rnacentral:misc_RNA from 1 species
UUUUGGUUUUUUUUUUUUUUGUCUUUAAGCACGAUUAAGGUGGGAGUUGAAGGAAACGUGAUAAAAGUAUUUGGAGGCAGAAAGGCGGGCUCAAGAGAGACUCAAGUUCCAGUGAGGACCCAAGUGACAGCCACUCUGACAGUGAUGUGGAGCAAGAACAGUGGAUGGAGGAAACGGCAGAUUUGGGAAGGCCUCAUUGCUAGGUGAAUGCACUGCCAUGGCUGCCUACAUGAAUGCUGAGGCUGGCUAGCAUCAUGGUGCGAGUGGACCGACCGAUGUGAUCCAAAGUGAAGAGGCAGGUUACGUCAUAAAGAGCACAGACCACCUCACAUGAAAGCUGUGGGUAUGCUCCAGGAGA